UCCCUCUCAGGAUCACACCUGGAAAGUUUCCAGUACUCUACCAAUCUCAAAUACGGGAGGGAGAAUCAAGCAGAAUCCUACCCAUUCUAUUCCUAGCUUGGACAGUGGCUAGCGAGUGGAAGGCAAUCUGCUACAAUC